UCAAAGAGAAGGGGUCCUAGAUGUUC
rnacentral:piRNA from 1 species